rnacentral:pre_miRNA from 1 species
CUGUUACUCCCUCCGUUCCAAAUUACUCGUCGCAGAAAUGGAUGUAUCUAGAACUAAAAUACAUCUAGAUACAUCCAUACCCGCGACAAGUAAUUCGGAACGGAGGGAGUAUAUG